UCUGAUCAAGUUGUCAAGUCAGUUGAAGAUACUUUGAAGGCACUUGGUGCUGUAACAACAUAUGAUUUACAGUACAUCACAGAGGGAGACUUGCUGCCAGUAUUAAAGCCCAUCCAAGCCAGAAGACUGGUUGCUGCUUGGGCCCAAAGCAACUCAUCCACUCCAGCUCCAGCCCUGGCAUGUUCCUCUCCAGUGUCUAUCCUUUCCUCUCCCUCCUCGGUCACUCACUCACCAUCAGCAUCCACAGCUUCAUCAUCAUCACCAUCAGCAAGCUCUUAUCAACUUGUGGCAAACUGGGUAGACAGUUUUCAGAUACCAUGGCAGAAGCUCCCUGAAGAGUUAGUCCAGAGUUUGGAAAGACAGAAAAGGCCAAGUCCGCGACUACAACGAGAAAUGAGUCCUCCUGCUUUGCAGCUGAGACAUUUAUGUUGAGCUUCGACAAAGAGGUUGUCAACGACCACAUCACUUCCUUCACAUCUGCCAUUUGCCUGAUGUUUGGGAGUUACUACUGCUUCAACAUACACUACCAGGUGG